AGCCCAUCGCCACCAUUGCAGGCAGCCUUUAUGUAUCCCUCAGGUAAACCCAAGUUCUCAUCCAUCACUGCCAUCACCUUUGCAGCUAGCUUCUUCAGCUCCGAUCUAUACUCUGCCAUGGUUUCCCUGCCACAAUAUUCGAAUGUUGGAGGGCCAUUCGUUGUUAUCAUGGAGAAGGAAGACAUCUUCCCAAUCAAGAUUUUCCAGCUUCUCGCCGCUCUUGCGUUCCAGCAAAUCAUUCAGGAGCUUCACAGGAGCUUUUCUGGAAUCCCAUGGUUCACCAGCUGAAAUUCAGAUUUACUGAUAGUGAUGUAAACUCGUGGCUGUGGCAUAAUUCUUAUUAAGCUGGCAAAGUGGAAUUACGCACUCAACCGAGGUAAGUCUCUAAUCCUUCUAAAUGUUUAUGAUAUCGUUAAAAUUUGAAUUUUCUUUUAGGUGGAUUUACUAUGCUAUCACGUUUAAUCAAUCAAUAGGAAGGUUGUAAUCGAGCGUUCUUAAAUGGUAAGGACUAAAUUGAAAUAUUACCUAAAUAUAAGAACUAAAAUGUUUGUGUAGUAGUAAAAUAUGAUAGGUUAAGAUAGUGAUAUGAGAUAAAUAAACUAAGCAAAUGAUAAGGUUAAUAGGCAUGAUAUUAAUCUUACUUAAAACAUAAAUCUAUGCCGACUACCGUUGAUUAUGUUGACUUUUGAUCUUCUAGGUCCUAACUUUGACUCUCACAUGGAUACGCUUUUGAUUAUCAAUGGUUUACCUAAAUAUUUAAUUACUUCUUACACAUAGUUUGUGGGUUAAGGAAAAUAGGCAGCAUCGUAUCAUGGCUUUUAAGUUUUAACAUACAUAAAGGGAAAUAACCUUAAUUAUUGGAUUAAAUAUUAAUAAAAUAUUUAAUAGAUAAUCAUUAAAUUACACACUUUUGGUUGGCCUAUUUUUGUAAAUCACCAUAUUUUAAAAUAAUUUUUAACACUUUUCUUAA